UACGAAGGGGGCUAGCGUUGCUCGGAAUCACUGGGCGUAAAGCGCACGUAGGCGGAUCUUUAAGUCAGGGGUGAAAUCCUGGAGCUCAACUCCAGAACUGCCUUUGAUACUGAGGAUCUUGAGUCCGGGAGAGGUGAGUGGAACUCCGAGUGUAGAGGUGAAAUUCGUAGACAUUCGGAAGAACACCAGUGGCGAAGGCGGCUCACUGGCCCGGUACUGACGCUGAGGUGCGAAAGCGUGGGGAGCAAACAGG
rnacentral:rRNA from 1 species